rnacentral:rRNA from 1 species
GUGGGGAAUUUUGGACAAUGGGGGCAACCCUGAUCCAGCCAUUCCGCGUGAGUGAAGAAGGCCUUCGGGUUGUAAAGCUCUUUCGUCAGGAACGAAACGGCGGGCUCUAACAUAGCCUGUUAAUGACGGUACCUGAAGAAGAAGCACCGGCUAACUACGUGCCAGCAGCCGCGGUAAUACUUAGGGUGCGAGCGUUAAUCGGAAUUACUGGGCGUAAAGCGUGCGCAGGCGGAUUGUUAAGCAAGACGUGAAAUCCCCGGGCUUAACCUGGGAAUGGCGUUUUGAACUGGCAGUCUAGAGUGCGUCAGAGGGGGGUGGAAUUCCACGUGUAGCAGUGAAAUGCGUAGAGAUGCGGAGGAACACCGAUGGCGAAGGCAGCCUCCUGGGAUAACACUGACGCUCAGGCACGAAAGCGUGGGGAGCAAACAGGAUUAGAUACCCUAGUAGUCC